rnacentral:lncRNA from 1 species
UUUCAACAGGGUCCUCCAGGAAAGUCUGGACAAGACGUCAGUCCUGGGCCACCUGGUGAUAGGGUGAGUACUGUAGGCCAAGAGCCUCUGUCACAAACCAAAAUAUUACCGACAUUUCUCGUUAAUGAGUCUCUCUGUUCUCUAGGGCUUCACAGGGAAAGAUGGCGUGGAGGGUCGCCAGGGGCCAGUGGGCAUGUAUGGCUACCCAGGAGCAGUGGGUUUAACUGGGAGACCUGGUCAUUUUGGAGAGAGGGGGGAACUUGGUGUGAGAGGUCCCGCUGGUAUCCCUGGGAAGAGUGGACCACCAGUGAGUACACUGUACUGACACUCACAUUAUGGAAAGAAUAGUGUAAACUAAUAUUGGUGGAAAUAUUACACAUUGAUACCUUUUAUUACCACGUUACCACGUUGAUGUUUUUAAUCUGUCCUAUAGGGGUUAAAGGGAUCUCAUGGAGAGAGAGGGCCGGCUGGACCUCAGGUAAGGAAGCUCACUCUUUAAGACCAUUUGACUAAUACAGACUAGCUUUAGACACACUGGAAGAGGUUUCCCCCUGGGGUUACAGCCUGACUCUGCCAUGAUGUUUUUCUGGUUUAUCCACCUCAGGGUCGUCAAGGAGACAAUGGACUCAAUGGCAUACAGGGGUCACCAGUGAGUAGCACUUUUAAAUCAUGUCCUUGUCCUCUUGUUUGGUUAGAUGGCACUUUGAUGA